GGGAUGACAGGCAGCAGCUGCAAAAUGGCUGCGUCUUGCUAAGAGGCACUGAGCAGGAACACGUUGCAAAGAUAUUCAGGUACUUUCGGAAGUCCUUGAUGAAAACUUAACUAGAACAGGAUAAAAUCCAGUAAGGCCGCUGUUACACUGGUAACAGUAACGGCAACAGCAGAGAUGUACGCUAUUGCAGACCCUCAGUUCUUCAGUAAGAUGCGUUUCUUUCCAGGCCAGCCCAAGAGAGGAGUCUUAGAAAGAGAAAUAAAAAUGAAGUGGCUAAGGAGUCCAAUUUAGACAUCGUGCUUUCUUCUCAUCUCUUCAGUUGCCCUUAGACAUCUCUGCCUGCCUUCAGACUGACUGACGUGUUCAGACUGCCAGACUUGCUGGAGUCAAAUCCAAGGGGAAUAACAUGAACUCCAUUAACCCCGAUGCAUAGUCUGAUCCUCCCACAUGCCAAACUCCUUAGUGGCUCUAUCUGUCUGAGGGCCAACUUGCAUACCAAGGGUCAGAAAAACUUGAAAAUUAAAAUUGUUUCAGGCAACCAGAGCCUAAUGGAAGUCAUCGCUCCCUUGAUCUCCUUCAGCAGUGAACAGGGUGAAUUUGCAUGGUUUGUUUUUUUUUUCCUUUUCCUUUUCUCCUCCACAAUGUAUUUUCUGUCAGGAUGGCUAAGUGGUGCGGCCGAGGGCAGGAGAACCGCUUCCAUGCCCAGCCUUAUGAAAUAUAUUUCGUCUCGUGAAGGAAGUCAGCUCUCAGGAACUAGAGGAAGGAAAUACUUUUCCUGUUUCAUAUUAGCCCCAAAGACUCUAAAGCUACUUUUGUGAUUAAUCUAACCAAGUAGCAGUUUGUCAGUAUGAAAGGAGAUGUGUAUGUUGCUAAUCUCUGAAUGUCUUUCCUCUUUGGAGUUCAAAAAUGGUAUAAAAUCCUUGGUAUAGGCAUAUUUUUUAACAGGAAAAAUGCUAUAUUUUUCCUUCAGUCAUAUAGUCGGCCACAGGUCACAAAUGGAAAAUAAAAGCACUCAGUGAGAGGCACACUUCACGCUUUCUCCAUCUCAGAUAUUUUAUAGUUCUUUUCUAAAAAUAGAUUUUGUCUAGAACAAAAGUUGCACUUUGAGAUAGUCUAAAAGAUGCUUCAGCGAAAUGAGGCCACACAGCGCAAGGUAUGCUUUGUGGGAAGUACAUGAUUAAGGAUUGUUUUUGUUUCUUGUUUUGGUCCUUUCUGUGGCCCUGGAGGUCUUUGUGGGAAUAUGUCCCAGUGAAACUACAAAAACAGUUCCCUUACUUUGUCUACUGGGUGGUUCAUUCUUUGGCAGAAUACUUAAACAAGUGGUGUAUGAAAACUUAAAGGAAAAGCUGAAAAACAUGUUAAAAACUGGACACGAGAGCGCUAAAAUGAAGACAGUGCAUUACUCAAUAGUUGUUUUGUUUUUUGUGGUUAGUCAAACUGUCCUUUCUCUGCACAACUGUGGGGAUUGCUAAGCAUGAAAGAUCCCCUUUUGUAAACAAUCCAAGCCUCAGCAUAUUUGCUGUGUCAGCUUUCUCAUCGGUUUAGGUACUGGUAGCAGGAAAGAAGUGCCAUGACUUGUGACUGGUUCAAUGACCAGACGUUUCUGAAGUAACA